ensembl:lncRNA
GAGUCCCGGGUGAGUCCCAGGUGAGUCCCAGGUGAGUGUCAGGUGAGUCCUUGGUGAGUCCUUGGCGGCUCUUCACCUGAAAUCACUCACUCUUCUUCACUCUCACUGAAUGCUGCGUCUGUGCUGCUGACGCUGUGUAAUAUUCUCACAUAAAUGUGAAGAUCUGCCGGUGUUCGUUCCUCUGAGCUCUAAAGACUCGAGGCCUCACGUCUUGUGGGUUUCUUACGUUUUCCAUCGUUUCUGAGGACAUCUGAGCUCUGAGGUUUUUGUGCAAGCCUGUAACACUGUGUUGUUGUUCGGGAAUCCGAUCCGUCUGACUGUCACUCCUAAAGGUAAGAAACACACUUUAUUCUUAGUAGUUCCAUCUACAGCUUGUGUGCAUCAGUUGAGACAAUCAAAUCCGUUGUUUAAAAGCUCAUGAACGAUUUAUUUUAAGCUGUUUUAAAUAUCUGCCUUUUAACUCUGACAUGUGUCAGAGUCAAAAGUUAAGAGUUCAUGUAUACGUGUGAUAUAUAUAUAUAUAUAUAUAUAUAUAUAUAUAUAUAUAUAUAUAUAUAUUAGUGUAUAUAUAUGCAUAUAUAUAUAUAUAUUAGUGUAUAUAUAUGCAUAUAUAUAUAUAUAUACACUAAUAUAUCUAUUAGUGUAUAUAUAUAUAUAUAUAUAUAUAUAUAUAUCUAAUGUGUGUGUGUGUCUAUAAUAAAAUCCCACUCAAAGAACUUUUUCUGUAAAAGUAGUAAUAUAAACAGCUGAAAAGUUAAUAUACAUUUAAAUGAAAGUCAAGUUAAUUUGUUCAACUUUGUGCUGCAUUACUACGAGUAAUAAAUGCUACCUACAGAGAAAGUAUUUAAAUGAGCUGAAGUAAGAGACGGUUAUGAUCUACAAAUAUCUAUUUGACAGAACUGAUGAAAGCAAGUAUAAAGCAAUAUCGCCAUGAUGAUAUAUAUAUAUAUAUAUAUAUAUAUAUAUAUAUAUAUAUAUAUAAUCAUCAACUUUAUCUCUAAUAUAUGAAUUGUAUAAAAUCAUGCCCAACUGACUUUUAUUAAUUCAUUAAUUAAUUUUAAAGCCUGUUUUAAGUUUUAAAUCAAUAUUUUUAUUCUGCUGCUUUAUCUGCUGAUAAAUGAAAUCUACCAAUGAAAAAGCAUUUAUUGUUACUGCAUCACAGGGAGAGUAAAGUACUUUAAAUCCCAACUUACAAAACCACAGGAGAAUUUAUUGGUUCAUUUGUUCAUAAAUAUGAGUGAAAUCAUAUAUAAUGCGUCUUCUAUGUUGUUUCUUAG